rnacentral:rRNA from 1 species
AGUGAACGCUGGCGGUAGGCCUAACACAUGCAAGUCGAACGGCAGCACAGUAAGAGCUUGCUCUUACGGGUGGCGAGUGGCGGACGGGUGAGGAAUACAUCGGAAUCUACUUUUUCGUGGGGGAUAACGUAGGGAAACUUACGCUAAUACCGCAUACGACCUACGGGUGAAAGCAGGGGAUCUUCGGACCUUGCGCGAUUGAAUGAGCCGAUGUCGGAUUAGCUAGAUGACGUGGUAAAGGCCCACCAAGGCGACGAUCCGUAGCUGGUCUGAGAGGAUGAUCAGACACACCGGAACUGUGACACGGUCCAGACUCAUACAGGAGGCAGCAGUGGGGAAUAUUGGACAAUGGGCGCAAGCCUGAUGCAGCCAUACCGCGUGGGUGAAGAAGGUCUUCGGGUUGUAAAGCCCUUUUGUUGUGAAAGAAAAGCAGCAGGUUAAUACCCCGCUGUUCUGACGGUACCCAAAGAAUAAGCAUCGGCUAACUUCGU